UGAAGAAGACAACUUUCUACACUUAGAGUAAAUGCAAACAAUUACUUUUCUGGGUCCUCACUGAUUUUUCCAUUUAUCUGCUUCACCUCUCCUCUCUUUCCUUUCUGUUUUCUUCUCUCUCUUUCUCUCUUUCCUUUUCUUUCCCUUUAAUUCUGGCCCCAAAGUAUGGGCUUGGCCAGAGGAAAUACUCAGAAUGAAGGAUUGCAUCUUCCGACCAGAAGCAGGUGCUGAGGAUGGAUAUGACAUCAAAACAGAAGGGUUGAUAGGGAGGAUCAUUAACCAUCAGAGAAAUUGCUAACUGCCCUGGAACACAGCACAUUCUUGGGUGAAAAGUCACUUGAAUGCCUGUUGGAGCCAUCACUAUGGAUUGCCGGCUAUUCUGACUUGGAGUUUGAGGCUGACAUCUGAAACCACAGAAUAGAAACAAUUUUGUGCCAGUUGGAAAAAAAAACUAUUAUGAUUUGAUAGAGGACUAAGAAGAAAUACCAGAGAAGUAGGAGGAAACCCAGAGGGAGAAUUCAUUCCCACAGAAACCAAGGAAAAAGAACAUUUCAAGAAAGACGUAAAGGGAAAUACCAAUUAUUUUGAUGGAAAUUAUUUGAAGGCAUUGGAAUACAAAUCUGUGUGAAGUGAGUUAAAUCUCCGCAAGGCCAAGAUACACUGUGUUUAAUUACACCUUCAUGGAAACUCAAUUAUAUCCUUCUUGCUGAUAGAAAACUGAAUUCCUUAAAAAUUAAAUGAAUUAAAAUUUGUGUAUGACAGGACUAUUAUACCCAUAACAGUUCCACUGCAAGUACAUGAGACUGUCAUGGCAAUAACUGAAAAACUAAAGGAGAUGUCUAUGUAGACAGCUGCUCAUUUACUGCCUGAGGCUCAGAAUCAAUCAUAACUCCAGGUGAACUGAAUCCCUCAGAGCACCAAGGGAAACCUGAGAAGCAUUCCAGGAGACCUCCGUUUGACUGGCUUUUCGGAUAUAUAUAACACAGGCUGAAGUGUGCUGUCAAAACUCAUCAUUUAAGUAUUGUAAACUCCAUUAAAAUAUUCCUUUAAAAGAGAAAGAGCUGCAGACUUGAUACAGGAAGGAUCUCUUCCAUGAUUCUGGGAUUUGGAGCUCAGGUGGUACAACGGUGAUGAAGAUGGAGAUGUGGACGUGGCCAGUGUAAACAUGGUGACUUAGCAGGGAGGACUGAUGAGUGAGGAGAGAGCAGAUGUAAUUGAAAGAGGAGAGGACUAGCCUCAGUACCCUGUGAAACAUUAGCAUUGACUACUGGGCAGGGAAGGAAGAAGCCUCGAAGGGACCUCAGAGGAGUGGUCUCUAUCCCACAGGAGUGUAUACUUUCUUUCCAGUUCUCUUUGGAUCUUUGACAAAGGAAAAUAAAAUCUAUUGUUAAGCAUUAA
rnacentral:lncRNA from 1 species